UACGAAGGGGGCUAGCGUUGUUCGGAAUUACUGGGCGUAAAGCGCGCGUAGGCGGCUUUGCAAGCCAGAGGUGAAAUGCCUGAGCUCAACUUGGGAAUUGCCUUUGGGACUGUGAGGCUUUGAGGACUGGAGAGGUGAGUGGAAUUCCCAGUGUAGAGGUGAAAUUCGUAGAUAUUGGGAAGAACACCGGUGGCGAAGGCGGCUCACUGGCCAGUUUCUGACGCUGCAGCGCGAAAGCGUGGGGAUCAAACAGG
rnacentral:rRNA from 1 species